rnacentral:rRNA from 1 species
AAUGCGUAACGACAGCACGAUUGCGGUUAACGGAGCGUAAGCGACGUUCAACACAAAAAUCAGGCAGUGGAGCGUUUUGGGGUGGGGUGACUGCGUACCUUUUGUAUAAUGGGUCAGCGACUUAUAUUCUGUAGCAAGGUUAACCGCAUAGGGGAGCCGGAGGGAAACCGAGUCUUAAUUGGGCGUUAAGUUGCAGGGUAUAGACCCGAAACCCGGUGAUCUAGCCAUGGGCAGGUUGAAGGUUGGGUAACACUAACUGGAGGACCGAACCGACUAAUGUUGAAAAAUUAGCGGAUGACCUGUGGCUGGGGGUGAAAGGCCAAUCAAACCGGGAGAUAGCUGGUUCUCCCCGAAAGCUAUUUAGGUAGCGCCUCGUGAAUUCAUCUCCGGGGGUAGAGCACUGUUUCGGCCAGGGGGCCAUCCCGGCUUACCAAUCCGAUGCAAACUGCGAAUACCGGAGAAUGUUAUCACGGGAGACACACGGCGGGUGCUAACGUCCGUCGUGAAGAGGGAAACAACCCAGACCGCCAGCUAAGGUCCCAAAGUCAUGGUUAAGUGGGAAACGAUGUGGGAAGGCCCAGACAGCCAGGAUGUUGGCUUAGAAGCAGCCAUCAUUUAAAGAAAGCGUAAUAGCUCACUGGUCGAGUCGGCCUGCGCGGAAGAUGUAACGGGGCUAAACCAU